rnacentral:rRNA from 1 species
AUUGAACGCUGGCGGCAGGCCUAACACAUGCAAGUCAAACGGUAACAGGAAGCAGCUUGCUGCUUUGCUGACGAGUGGCGGACGGGUGAGUAAUGUCUGGGAAACUGCCUGAUGGAGGGGGAUAACUACUGGAAACGGUAGCUAAUACCGCAUAAUGUCGCAAGACCAAAGAGGGGGACCUUCGGGCCUCUUGCCAUCGGAUGUGCCCAGAUGGGAUUAGCUAGUAGGUGGGGUAAAGGCUCACCUAGGCGACGAUCCCUAGCUGGUCUGAGAGGAUGACCAGCCACACUGGAACUGAGACACGGUCCAGACUCCUACGGGAGGCAGCAGUGGGGAAUAUUGCACAAUGGGCGCAAGCCUGAUGCAGCCAUGCCGCGUGUAUGAAGAAGGCCUUCGGGUUGUAAAGUACUUUCAGCGGGGAGGAAGGGAGUAAAGUUAAUACCUUUGCUCAUUGACGUUACCCGCAGAAGAAGCACCGGCUAACUCCGUG